AACGCAUAUUGCGCUCGAGGCUUCGGCCGAGAGCAUGUCUGCCUCAGCGUCGCUUUAACCCCUCACUCCCCAACCCCUGGGUUGGUUAAACGAGUGGAACUGGCUCUCCCAGCGCCUCGUGUGCUGGGUUGGCUGAAGCGCAGAGGUUGAUGCACGGACCCGCUAUGGGCCUCAGCUGGGUAGGCAACUCGUUUGCUGAUGCUUUAGCUGUUGGCUUGGGACUGUGCUGUCGACCCAAACCAGGAAUCGGGGUAACCCGACUUUCAAACUUCGACCUGAGCUCAGGCAAGAACACCCGCUGAACUUAA
rnacentral:misc_RNA from 1 species